GCCGGUCCCCGUGAGGAUCCAGACCCAUGGCUCUCACGCUCUCCUGUGUCAGAGUGGGGUCGGGGCUUCCUGCCACUUCGCCCAGGGUCUGGAAGAUUCGAUUGUUCUGCUCCAAGAAGAACCUGAGGAAGUGGAGGUCACUGGGGCUCCAGCGAUUCCCAGACAUCGACGGGCGAGGGCAGGAUAAACCCAAAAAAUCAACCCAAUUUUUCAUGUCAUAUAAUAAUCACUUUAAGGAAAAUUAAUCAAUCUCUGUUUAACCAAUUUUAUGACAACUGGUAGUAGGAAAAAGUGACAGGUUCUGGUACUUGCUUAACUUUCCAUAGUCCUGAAGAGGCAGGAAUUCGAACCCAAACCCGACCUGAUUAGCAGCUAGGCUGGACCUGACUUGCCUGUUCCUGAGCCAAACACACCCCACCCGGGGUGCUGUUGGUCCUGUUCAACUGUGCCUGUGUACUUACAAAACAGGACUCUGUACAGCAGUACCAUUCAGACAUGACUGAGGCGGCCCCUGUGUGUUUUUAAGAAGCAGAGGCGGGAACAGGAACUGCGCACAACAUGGGAAUGUCAUCAGACGUGAGCUGUUCACUGGCCGUGGUAAAUAAAUGAUGUACUCACAGAAUAAACAGAUCCUCCUCACUGGACACACAGUCGCCAUUCUCCUCCUUGACAGAACAACUACAACUACUACUGGGUGGCAGCAGAUGG